rnacentral:sRNA from 1 species
AAGUAAUGGAUUUCCGCACACAACUGAUAAGGCUCUGUUACAGCUCUGACCACGAAAAACUGAAGCCUCAGUACUUGGAAGAGCUACCUGGACAACUGAAACAAUUCUCCAUGUUUCUGGGGAAAUUCUCAUGGUUUGCUGGGGAAAAGCUCACCUUUGUGGAUUUUCUCACCUAUGAUAUCUUGGAUCAGAACCGUAUAUUUGACCCCAAGUGCCUGGAUGAGUUCCCAAACCUGAAGGCUUUCAUGUGCCGUUUUGAGGUGACGUUUCCUGCACCUUUCUCUUAUAAAAACACUCACAGGCUCCCCUGGGACCUGCAGGAUCCCAUUGUGGAGGAUUCUUCCCCGGCUUUUGCCUAAUGGGAUCAAUGGUUGGACACCUCUAGACCUUUAAGUCUUGGGAAGAGCCUAACUUCUAUACCUUGAAGGCACUGUCUACAAAAAAAUGGAGGAGGUAGACGCAGGCAACACGUGAAUGUUGCUGUUCUGGUAUGCAUCUGUUGGACUGGGUUGGGGUCUUUAUAAGAUUUGGUGUAUUUUCCUUUCAGGCUUUGGAGAAAAUCGCUGCCUACUUGCAGUCUGAUCAGUUCUUCAAGAUGCCCAUCAACAACAAGAUGGCCCAGUGGGGCAACAAGCCUGUAUGCUGAGCAGGAGGCAGACUUGCAGAGCUUGUCUUGUUUCAUCCUGUCCCUAAGGGGUCAGCACUCUUGCUUUGCUCUUUUCAAUAAAUAGCACUUAUGUUA